rnacentral:rRNA from 1 species
GGAUUAGGCAUGCAAGUCGUACGAGAACGGUCCCUUCGGGGACUUAGUAAAGUGGCGGACGGGUGAGUAAUGCAUAGAUAACCUACCCUCGAGAUGGGGAUAACACCUGGAAACGGGUGCUAAUACUCAAUGCCGUCGUUGGCCCGCGGGCCUUCGACGAAAGGAGGCCUCUGUUUAAGCUUCCACUCGGGGACGGGUCUAUGUCCUAUUAGCUUGUUGGUGAGGUAACGGCUCACCAAGGCUGCGAUGGGUAGCCGGCCUGAGAGGGUGACCGGCCACAUUGGGACUGAGACACUGCCCAGACUCCUACGGGAGGCUGCAGUCGAGAAUCUUCCGCAAUGCGCGCAAGCGUGACGGAGCGACGCCGCGUGGGCGAUGAAGGCCUUCGGGUUGUAAAGCCCUGUCAGUUACUAGGAACCGCGGGUGGUUAAUAGCUAUCCCGCCUGACCCAGUAGCAGAGGAAGCACCGGCUAAAUACGUGCCAGCAGCCGCGGUAAUACGUAUGGUGCGAACGUUGUUCGGAAUCACUGGGCUUAAAGCGGGCGUAGGCGGUUCGGUCAGUCCGUUGUGAAAUCCCUCGGCUCAACCGAGGAACUGCAACGGAUACUGCUGAGCUAGAGUGCAGGAGGGGAGAGUGGAAUUCCUGGUGGAGCGGUGAAAUGCGUAGAUAUCAGGAGGAACGCCGGUGGCGAAAGCGACUCUCUGGACUGCUACUGACGCUGAGGCCCGAAAGCUAGGGGAGCGAACGGGAUUAGAUACCCCGGUAGUCCUAGCCCUAAACGAUGGGCACUAAGUAGAGGGGUUUU